UUGCUUUGGCAGCACAUAUACUAAAAUUGGAACAAUACAGGAAGAUUAACAUGGCCCCUGCGCAAGGAUGUCCACUGAUUUUAGAGAGAGAGGAAAGGAGAAA